CAUUUCUGCUUUAAUAGGAAGGAUGAUAUUAAAACCAAGAAAAAUAAAAACAACUGCGUCAUAAUAGGAUAUUUUUGAGUCAGUUUGUGGUGUAAAUUAAACCUUUGUAAUACUGCUGACCUCUGUCUCGUUGUAACAAAAGGGGAAAGCAGCAGGCACUAUAUGACUCAUUUUACCUCCCACUGCAUGCCUGUAUUUUUCACCAGGCCCAGUUUAAGGUGUGGAGAAGGAACAUUAACACUUUACUGUACAGGAAUUCUGCCUGAUCCUCGACUGGUGUGCAGGACAAGCAGCUUCUGCCUUGCAACAGGUGAUGCUUCACAAAUCCAAUGUAAUGAAGCGAUGGGUAGAAGUUAUCUUUCUAAAUCAACAGAUUUAUUCCUGUGCUCCUGAAAUAGUUUUCUUUGUGCUUAGAUCUGCAUUAUUUCACCAGCAGUGCAUGAAAGCAUCACUAGUAGGAGAUGAGAAGGUAGAAACUUAAGACAGUGAGAGCUCAAGAAACCAUUAUGUGUCCUCCAUCUUUCUGGGAAGCUGCUUAUCUUCAUCAUUUUUUGGGAAGACGCAAUUUAAUACAUUGAGCCAUUUCAGGAUUACUUUGAGUUCCUCGAGUUUUGUGUUUGGAAUCUACGUGUAAUAAUUAGCUGUAUGGGU